UUAUUUUAUUUCCAUUUAUACAUGAAUGGAACUGUUAGGUAAACAUAUAUUGAAGGGUACGGGUUUAUAUUCGGUUGAGUCUAGUCAAUUGCAGGGCACAGAGAUAACAGAUAUGAAGUUUGUUCCUUUUGAUUCGUGAUGUGCCCAAAAGGGAAGUAGUGGGCAUAGUUUCAACCCAAAUCCAUGAUCCUCCCUCAAGGCAUAUGCUACCUGCCAUAUUAAAGUGCACAGACUCAUACUGCACAUGCACCUCCAAUCAUAAUAAUUAUUGGUGUUGAGAAUCAAAAGACAGUGAGGACGAGAGACCAAAGAGUUUCAAACUGUGGUCCCUAAUUAUUGUAAGUGCGGCCUAAAUUAACGGGUUUUGGAGUCCUCACAUCAACAUCACAACCGCAAUCACAGUCGCAUCGCUCCACAUUCGUCCACAAUUCUGCAAUAUAACGG